rnacentral:tRNA from 1 species
AGGCGAUUAGCUCAGUUGGUUAGAGCACCUCCCUUACAAGGAGGAGGUCAUCAGUUCAAAUCUGAUAUCGCCUA